rnacentral:rRNA from 1 species
UCCUGGCUCAGAACGAACGCUGGCGGCGUGUUUAAGACAUGCAAGUCGUACGGGGAAUUUGAAUAGCUUGCUAAUUGAAUUCCUAGUGGCGCACGGGUGAGUAACACGUGAGUUACAUGCCCUGCAGAGGGGGAUAGCCCGCCGAAAGGCGGAUUAAUACCCCAUGGUCCCGCAAGGGUAAAGGGGGCUUCGGCUCCCGCUGCAGGAUUGGCUCGCGUCCUAUCAGCUUGUUGGUAAGGUAACGGCUUACCAAGGCAACGACGGGUAGCUGGUCUGAGAGGACGAUCAGUCACACUGGAACUGAGACACGGUCCAGACACCUACGGGUGGCAGCAGUCGAGAAUAAUUCACAAUGGGGGCAACCCUGAUGGUGCAACGCCGCGUGGAGGAUGAAGGCCCUAGGGUCGUAAACUCCUGUCAUUUGAGAGUAAGACCUGGCGGUCAAUAGCCGACAGGGUUGAUAGUAUCAAAAGAGGAAGGGACGGCUAACUUCGUGCCAGCAGCCGCGGUAAUACGAAGGUCCCAAGCGUUGUUCGGAAUCACUGGGCGUAAAGGGAGCGUAGGCGGUUUGGUAAGUCAGAUGUGAAAUCUCGGGGCUCAACCCCGAAACUGCAUCCGAUACUGCCUGACUUGAGUAGUGGAGGGGUAGAUGGAAUUCUCGGUGUAGCAGUGAAAUGCGUGGAUAUCGAGAGGAACACUUGUGGCGAAGGCGAUCUACUGGACACUUACUGACGCUGAGGCUCGAAGGCCAGGGUAGCGAAAGGGAUUAGAUACCCCUGUAGUCCUGGCAGUAAACGGUGUGCGCUUGGUGUGAGGGGUUUCGACCCCCUUCGUGCCGGAGCUAACGCGUUAAGCGCACCGCCUGGGAAGUACGGUCGCAAGACUAAAACUCAAAGAAAUUGACGGGG